AAAUUGAAGAGUUUGAUCAUGGCUCAGAUUGAACGCUGGCGGCAGGCCUAACACAUGCAAGUCGAACGGUAACAGGAAGCAGCUUGCUGCUUUGCUGACGAGUGGCGGACGGGUGAGUAAUGUCUGGGAAACUGCCUGAUGGAGGGGGAUAACUACUGGAAACGGUGGCUAAUACCGCAUAAUGUCGCAAGACCAAAGAGGGGGACCUUCGGGCCUCUUGCCAUCAGAUGUGCCCAGAUGGGAUUAGCUUGUUGGUGAGGUAACGGCUCACCAAGGCGACGAUCCCUAGCUGGUCUGAGAGGAUGACCAGCCACACUGGAACUGAGACACGGUCCAGACUCCUACGGGAGGCAGCAGUGGGGAAUAUUGCACAAUGGGCGCAAGCCUGAUGCAGCCAUGCCGCGUGUAUGAAGAAGGCCUUCGGGUUGUAAAGUACUUUCAGCGGGGAGGAAGGUGUUGUGGUUAAUAACC
rnacentral:rRNA from 17 species